rnacentral:rRNA from 1 species
GACGAACGCUGGCGGCGUGCUUAACACAUGCAAGUCGAACGGAAAGGCCCUGCUUUUGUGGGGUGCUCGAGUGGCGAACGGGUGAGUAACACGUGAGUAACCUGCCCUUGACUUUGGGAUAACUUCAGGAAACUGGGGCUAAUACCGGAUAGGAGCUCCUGCUGCAUGGUGGGGGUUGGAAAGUUUCGGCGGUUGGGGAUGGACUCGCGGCUUAUCAGCUUGUUGGUGGGGUAGUGGCUUACCAAGGCUUUGACGGGUAGCCGGCCUGCGAGGGUGACCGGCCACAUUGGGACUGAGAUACGGCCCAGCGUCCUACGGGAGGCAGCAGUGGGGAGUAUUGCACAAUGGGCGGAAGCCUGAUGCAGCAACGCCGCGUGCGGGAUGACGGCCUUCGGGUUGUAAACCGCUUUCGCCUGUGACGAAGCGUGAGUGACGGUAAUGGGUAAAGAAGCACCGGCUAACUAUGUG